AUGAAGCAUUUUUCUGGUGUUCUUAAUUUCCAAAGAGAAUCAUGGAGGUAUCUUCAAACUAAGCAACAGAAACCACGACAUUCUGAGAAGGUUGUUUGUUGCAUCCAUAUGAUCUUAAGAGUCAUUUCUAUUCCUCGUCAGAUGAUACUGCAAUUAAUGGAGAAUGUGAACUCGAGUGCUGCGGAAUGGAGGUUGUCUGUUUCAACUGAGCUACAAGGUUAUAACAUACAUGGCGCCGAUUGUGAGAGCCAACCAAAGCCACGAUCACUGUUCAAUUUCAGUCAACAGACAAUCCAACUAAAGCCACCAUGGCCAUCAUUUUCAUGCAAUUGCCAAGCUGUGCAGGUGCGGUCAGCAUUACUUACCGGUGACCCACCUGAUGACUACGUUGACACCAACUCCAGUCUGUCGUCGUGGACACGAUGGGCAGCGUCAAUCCUGUUCCAAACUGCGCAUCUAUGGGUGCGGCCACUGCCUACACCAUCCCAUCUUCCAGAUGAGCUGAGCUUCACUCCCGUCUGGUUCGCAUCUUCACUAAUUGGUCCUCCUGUUGAGAACAUGUACAGCAGAAUAAAGUUGCGACCGCUUCCAUGGCCAUCCUGGGAGUGUUACAGAGGCUGGAAGUUUUUGGUCAGGCAAGCGCCAUCCUUCAUAGAAGGGAGGUCUCAUCAUCCGUGGCCAAUAUUGGUAUAUUGGGGCAGUCUGGAGUUGAACCUUAUACUGCGUAGUCCUCAUACUAGUAUUUUAGAUCAAAUGCGUCAGUAUGAGUAUGAAAGACGUACUAGCCUGGGAAGUGUUACCCAAAUCAGUGGUGGUCAUGAAGCAGUGCAGGGCACUAUGAUGCGUAUGGAUAUAUCAACGAAUUGGCAUUUUUUGCGAAAAGAAGAAUUUGAGAGGAGUGGAAUUUAUUCACAUGACAGCAUGAUAUUUGGUGGCAAGGAAGCGCUUAUCGCGCGAUUAUUAACCAUCACAGGUUCACAACGACAAUGGUUUUCAAGUAGUUCUGCUCAUAUAUUUAUCGAGGAAAAUGUUCCAGAGAUUUGCAAUCAGCCGACCUUGUGUGCAAGAGUGCUACACGGCCAACGUAUACCAGUCUUAGAUGCCCCAAUUCAUGCUGAAUGUGUUCCAUCUUGUUUCUGUGCUACACUCUAUUCAAAGGAUCUGGGGUUACAUACUUCUGCUAGAGGAUUCUUGCUCCUUCCAAAUAACAAUGGUACAUCUGGUGCAUGGUUGCAGCGAGAAAAAUUUCAACGAGGGAGGGGUGUCACAGUUCUGGCUACAUUCUUUGAGCAAGCCCCCAUUGGCCACCGCUACUACCACGACUUCGGCGCCACCGCUACUACCACGACUUCGGCCACAACGAUGCCGACAACGAUCACAACUAAAGUAUCUCACUGA
rnacentral:rRNA from 1 species